UUUUAAAUGGCUACCUGUCCAGCAUCCACAAAUAUAGCAUCAAUUUAUAUGUUCACUUUCAAAACAAUAAAAUAACAAACUGUGACCAAAAUAAAAGUGUAUCGGUUAGAAAAAAUAUUACUAAUUACACCCUGGUUCAGCUCAAGAAGAAAUUUUGCCCCAAAGCUUAAAAAAAGUUUUUAAAAUUGCAAUAAUCUUUUAAAAAAAGAAGAAAGAAAACAAAAUUGAAACGGAGCUAAGGGAUAAAAAACCAAGUACAAAAGAGAGAGGGAGAAACAAGCCUUUCCAGCAGUAGAAAAAGACCAAAUAUUAAUAAUAUAAGCCUGUGAGGAUUGUUUACUGGGAAAAAUAGAAAAUUCAACAGCUGUAGGGAAAAAAAGAAACCGGGCGGAAGCGGUCCGAAAAUGGGAUACGACUUACGAUCAGGAACGUCCUCGUCACGGUUCGCAAUUCACGGAAAGUCGGCCAAUGAAUUGAUUUUCAAAUUUGUGAGAAAUAAAACCACAGCUGCUUCGAUUUUCAACGAUUCCAAGGAGGAGAAAAGAAGAGGACGCCGAAGAUGAUAUAGCCGUAGUCAGGAAUGUUAAAAAAAAACAAUUUGCUAUCUACGAUAAUCAGUAUUUGAAGAAAAUUGGGGAAAAAGUGUCAAAUUUAAAAUCGAACAAGGCGGAAAAAUUAAAUCGUUCGAUUUUGCACCGGAACGAGUGGGAUAUAGCGAAAAAAGGCGUCCCUUGUCGAAAAAGCGAGAAAAACGAUGAAAACAGGCCGCAUCCGCCUGGAAAGGAGUCGGAAACCGACGAGGAAAAUGAUUUCGGAUGUGGAUGAGAGCCGUGUGCCCAGGGCCGGUCGGCCAUGUUGGAUAACAAAAGGUACGGUCUGAUAUACGGCCGUCCCACUCACCAUUUUCUCACGUAUUUCUUCAUCUAGCCGGGCCGAAAUCUACGAGCUCCUUCAAUUUCGUCCUUAUUAAAAUUGGAUGGACCAUUCUUCUAUCGAGAUGUCGGCCGAUUUGUCAUUUGUCGUCGAAAACUUUCGAGGAGUAAGGACGGGCGAGAGACGCGAACGGGCCGGGGCGAGACUCAAA